GAGAGGAGUUAGAUCGGGAGGAGGAGGAGGAGGACGGAGAGGAGGAGGAAGUGGAGGCUGUGGGGGCUGGCGCGGGGUGGGACACCCCCAUGCGGGAUGAAGACUACGAGGGUGACAUGGAGGAGGAGGUGGAGGAGGAAGAAGAGGGUGUGUUCUGGACCAGUGGCAUGAGCAGGUCCAGCUGGGACAACAUGGACUAUGUGUGGGAGGAGGAGGACGAGGAGGAAGAGCUGGACUACUACUUGGGGGACAUGGAGGAGGAGGACCUGAGGGGGGAGGACGAGGAGGACGAGGAGGAAGUGCUGGAGGAGGUUGAGGAAGAGGAUCUAGACCCCGUGACCCCACUGCCCCCGCCUCCAGCCCCUCGGAGGUGCUUCACAUGCCCUCAGUGCCGAAAGAGCUUUCCUCGGCGGAGCUUCCGCCCCAACCUGCAGCUGGCCAAUAUGGUCCAGGUGAUUCGGCAGAUGCACCCAACCCCUGGUCGAGGGAGCCGCGUGACCGAUCAGGGCAUCUGUCCCAAACACCAAGAAGCCCUGAAGCUCUUCUGCGAGGUAGACGAAGAGGCCAUCUGUGUGGUGUGCCGAGAAUCCAGGAGCCACAAACAGCACAGCGUGGUGCCAUUGGAGGAGGUGGUGCAGGAGUACAAGGCCAAACUGCAGGGGCACGUGGAACCACUGAGGAAGCACCUGGAGGCUGUGCAGAAGAUGAAAGCCAAGGAGGAGAGGCGAGUGACAGAACUGAAGGUGGGUGAAUGUUCUCGACGGGGCUGAUGGGCAGUACAGUCGAGGCAAGGAAGGUAGGGCUUCCCACUCUCACAGGGAGUGACUUGGUCCCCUGAGGAGGGGACAGCUAAGGCCUGGGAGAGGGGUGAGGGGUAGAUGCUUUCCCUGGGUGCUGAGGAGAGCGGGGCCUUAGAGAAUCAGGAGGCAUGUUCAUUCCUGGUUCCAAAAUGGAGUGGAAACUGAGGCCUGGAUUGGAGGGCCUAGGUGCCCGGCCCAAGGCUGCAGAACAGGCUUUCUACCCGACACCAGAGCCUGAAGGGGGCAAAGCAAAACCCACAUAGCAGCCAUCAGAGAAGCUGCCGGCCCCAGGAUCCAUGCAGGCACUGGGCAGAGCAGCCCUGAGCAUGAGGCGGACACUGUCCUGGGACACUUGCUGUGUCCUGAGAGGGGGCCGGUGUGUUUAAGCUGGGGCAGGAUUUAGUGUAUGUUGGCGCCGCGGAGACCUAAUAUUCCCUAGUCUAGUGUUUUCUCAGCACACCCCGACCCCCCCCCCCCCGCUUUUUCUGUUUUUUGUUUUUCCAUUAUUGCUCGCCCUUCUCCAAGGAGUCUUUUAAGAUACAUUUUCCAUUCCCCACCUCCCGCCUGUUCUCAUAACCUCAGCAGCUCCUGCUGGAAUGGGCUGGCACUGUGAGCUUCAUAGACCAAGCCAGGACCUCCCCUUCUGUCCCUCUUCCCUCCUCCCUUCCCAGCCAGUGCCUGGGCCUUGCCACUACCCAGGGCCCAUGCUCACUGCCACCUGAACGUUAGGGACUCUGCUGCUGGCGACUGCUAGGCACUGAAUGGUAGGAUCUGUCUGGGAGUAGGAAGUCAUCCUGCUUCUGGCCAGCUGCCCAAGUUGAUACUUUUGGGCUCUCCUGGGUAUAGAGGUAACAGGAGCUGUGUGCCCCUGGCAUAGAGUGAAGCUGACUGUGGCGGCUGUUCCCUCACGCGUCUGGUCAGUUAGGACCCUCCUCUGGCCUGCUACUCACAGCGUCUGCAGCCGAUGGUAACUGUGUGAAAAGUGUGCCUACCACCCAGGAAGGGCCAUCCCUGGCAAAUAGGGUGGGACUGGGCAGGAGUUUUUUCUGUUACAGGAUAUUAAGUCCCUACAUAAUAUCCUUGAUUUUUGCCUCUUAGCCCACAAAGCAUAAAAAUAUUUACUAUCCGGACCUUCACAGAAAAAGUUUUUCCGAGUUCUGAUCUGGGGCUUUUGGGUGACUUUCUUAAGGUCACUGUGUUUAAUGGCGUCGGGACCCUAACUUCAUGUUUUGAUGCCUGAAUUCUUUUAUUUAUUCAUUUCAAAAAUUUUUACCAGGUGCCUACUCUGAUUGGUACUAUGUCAGCGUCCGAGGACACUGGCAAACAAAGACAUUCCUGGUCCCUGUCAGUGGGAGCUCAUGGUACAGUGGGGGAAAGGAUGUUAACAGUUAUGUCAUUUAAACACAACGUUUCAAUAUUAUAUGUGCCACAGAGAGAUACAGGGAUAUUUGUGGGGAUGGUCCCGAUUUAGAUCUGGAGAGGAGAGAAGGCUUGUCUUGGAAUAUUUAAGGUUGGACCUGAAGGAUGAGUCAACUUAGGUAGAAUCAGGUGGAGAGGAGUGUUCCAGGCAGAGGUUAGUGAGUUUGAGACCACUGUGCUGGGAGCAAGGGGGUGGUAUCUGGUAAGGCUGAGAAGUAAGGCCGGUAGGAGAUGAGCCUCUUUCCGGGACUGUCUUGGACCUGGGGAGUGUAGGGCUCCUUUGCCUUGCAUUGAGAAGUAGUAGUUGCAAAACUGGAGGUUAUCUUCGUACGUGUUGAGGUGGUGUCUGCCAUCCCCUUUGCACCAUUCCAGAGCCAGAUGAAGUCAGAGCUGGCAGCGGUGGCCUCGGAGUUUGGGCGACUGACACGGUUUCUGGCUGAAGAGCAGGCAGGGCUGGAACGGCGUCUCAGAGAGAUGCAUGAAGCCCAGCUGGGGCGUGCGGGAGCCGCGGCUAGUCGCCUUGCAGAACAGGCCGCCCAGCUCAGCCGCCUGCUGGCUGAGGCCCAGGAGCGGAGCCAGCAGGGGGGUCUCCGGCUGCUCCAGGUGAGCGAUGUCCCCUCCCUGUUCCCCCAGCAUUCUGUGUUGGCUGUCAGGCAGUGCUUACCAAACACCUGUCCAGAGCUGCCUCUUUUCUCCCUGGGAGGAACCCACAAUGAUUGAACCUGAAGACCAAAAACAUGUUUUAAAGCUGGAAACAGAGUUAAUGUCGAAUGUGGUAUGUGUGGCGAUUAUACCCAGUGAAAAGCAUGAAGAUUCGGUUGUAGGAGAGGUUUAAAUGACAGUUGAGGAAAGGCUUUUUGACAGUGACAUCCUGAAAAAGGUGAGCAAAUCGUAUUGUGGAAAUGACAGUAUCCCUGGGCUCACAGCAGGAUGAGGCGAGUUAGGUAUGGUGAGGCAUGGGGUGGUUGAAAUGGAUGUGUGUUCAUGGAGGGCCGUGAGGGUGCUGCUUCUCCCUUCCUGCUCAGGUUCAGUCUCUGACUGGAGAUCGGGGAACGCUGUCCCUGUGCAGCUGACACUCUCUUUAUCUCUUUCUCCCUCUCCCUCUUUUUGUUUCUCUUGUUCCCAGGACAUCAAGGAGACUUUCAAUAGGUGUGUUCCCACUCUUUGCCCUUUGUGACCCAGUGGCAUCUGGUUCCCUGUCCCUGCUUCUCUUGGGUAUCCCUCUCCUCUCCUUCCUUCCCCAGGACCUGAGUUUCCAUCUCCUGGACCCUCCUCUCCUUCCCCUCAGCUUUUGCUUUUCCCUCUGGGAAUAUCGUGGUCCCACCCCCUGCCCGGUCCCCUUCCUCCAGGUGUGAAGAGGUACAGCUGCAGCCCCCAGAGGUCUGGUCCCCUGACCCGUGCCAACCCCAUAGCCAUGACUUCCUGACAGAUGCCAUCGUGAGGAAAAUGAGCCGGAUGUUCUGUCAGGCUGCGAGAGGUAGGGAGGUCACCUCCACGACCUUCCUUUGCCUUUCCCUUCACAGACCUGAGACUGGGUCCUGAGGGAAGUUGGGCCCCAGGGAAACUGUGGGGCUUGAGAUGGAGCAGGAUCCAGGCAGCCACUCUGAGGUUGAGGUUUCAAGCCAUGAGCAGGUAGACCUAGUGCAGGCAGGCCUGGAGGGUGGGGUGGGGUGGAGUGGCAGGAAGAGCCAGGCUGGGGGAAGACCUGUCAGGUGUGCUAGGAACAAGAGUGAGGAGCAAGAUGAGCCUGCAGGAAUCUGAGGCUGGCCUCUGGGAUGGUGUGGGGAGCUGGAUUCAGGGAGGAAGGGGGCCCAAUCUGUGGAGUUGGCUGCUGACAGGGGAACAGCCGUUCCAGCCCUGGCGUAUUUGUCCUCCCUUCCUCCCAAGUGGACCUGACGCUGGACCCUGACACGGCUCACCCGGCCCUGAUGCUGUCCCCUGACCGCCGGGGGGUCCGCCUGGCAGAGCGGCGGCAGGAGGUUGCUGACCAUCCCAAGCGCUUCUCGGCCGACUGCUGCGUACUGGGGGCCCAGGGCUUCCGCUCCGGCCGGCACUACUGGGAGGUAGAGGUGGGCGGGCGGCGGGGCUGGGCGGUGGGUGCUGCCCGUGAAUCAACCCAUCAUAAGGAAAAGGUGGGCCCUGGGGGUUCCUCCGUGGGCAGCGGGGAUGCCAGCUCCUCGCGCCAUCACCAUCGCCGCCGCCGGCUCCACCUGCCCCAGCAGCCCCUGCUCCAGCGGGAAGUGUGGUGCGUGGGCACCAACGGCAAACGCUAUCAGGCCCAGAGCUCCACAGAACAGACGCUGCUGAGCCCCAGUGAGAAACCAAGGCGCUUUGGUGUGUACCUGGACUAUGAAGCUGGGCGCCUGGGCUUCUACAACGCAGAGACUCUAGCCCACGUGCACACCUUCUCGGCUGCCUUCCUGGGCGAGCGUGUCUUUCCUUUCUUCCGGGUGCUCUCCAAGGGCACCCGCAUCAAGCUCUGCCCUUGAUUAUCCUGCCACCCGCAGGGGCCCCUCUGUCAGCACUUGGGGGGUGGGUGGUGGAGGGUGGCCCGUAAGUUUGAGGGCUCAAAGGCUCUUCCCACUGUUUGUUACUGUGUUGCUUCCCACUCCCCCUUGACCCCAGGCCCCUGCUUCUCCCUCUAGGAGCCUAAAGAACCCUCCUGGCCUCCAGCUCAGCCUUCUCUCACCUACUAUGUCUGUCCAACAGGUCUGCAUGGGUCCCUGAUAAUGAGAACCGCUGCCUGGUCUUCUCUCCCAGUCUGCCUAGCCCAGCCCUGGGACUGGAAUUUGAGUAGGGGAUGAGGGGAAAUUGUAAUUUCAUUCCUUAACUUCCUUUUCCCCACCCCUGCUCUUCAACCUCUUUAUCAGUUCUGAGGCUGGAGGGUUUGGGCAAGGCAACAUCCCCAUUCCAAUUCCAUUUUCUGAUGCAGAUUUUAGCUGAGGGAUUUGGAAGCCAUUUGGGGAGGCAGGCUGGGCCAAAGGGUAGAGCUGGGUAAUAAAUGUCUAUUCUCCUGGGGAGGAGGGAUUCUAAACUUUCCUUCCGUCCUCAAUUUCUACCUCCAUAGACCGGCCAGAAUUUAGCUUCACUUGAGAGAGAUCUGGAAUGGUCGCCAUGAUUGAAACCACGCACCAUUACAUCAUCAUUACAUUAAUUACAUCAACAUAAAUUAUUUCUUCCCCCUUCCCUUUUCCAGCACUCAACCAAGGAGCAAAGCUCAUCCCACCCCACACCCCUCCCAGGUCUGCUCACUGCCAGGCUCCUCUCCCCUUUGUUCAGUGGAGCUGGCUUUUCUCCCAGCCCCUUUCCAUGCCUUUCAUUCCAUUUGGCAAGCCCUGAGGGGGAGCCUGGGGACGGGUUUGGGUCCCCAAGAGGAGCGCCUUGGGUAUAAUCUAUUUUUCUAGGAGCCCCUUGCCUUGUCACUUGCAGCUUUCGCCCUCUGCUUUGAUGGCUGAGGUGAACUCAUGUUCUUUGGGAAAAGGGAAGGCGUGCUGUGGAAAUAAAAUGUUUAUUUGCU
rnacentral:sRNA from 1 species